rnacentral:lncRNA from 1 species
UUUGUUCUAUGGGUGGGUGGGGGGAGCUUGGAGCUGUCUUAAUCUGUAUUCUCUUGACUGAACAAUAAAUUUUUAAAUAUAUCUAGUUUCCUCUAUUAAACACUUAAACCUGGCCAUCUUAUUAACUCCUUCUCUCUUUUUAACAAGGUAAUGUUUUAAAUGUAUAUAGCUUUAGGACUAGCGAAAUGGCAGCAACAAAAAAUUGUGAGCAGUUGUUACUCUUAGUUUUUAAAAAAUCUUUUACAUUGUAAGUACCCAAUCCAUUCUGUCCUGACGCAGUAGUUUUUAUGUUAAUGUUGCUGAGAUGUCCUUAAUUUUCCGAACCUUCAUCUGCAUGUAUGUCUUUGUCUCUCUUGUCUAAUAUAAGCCAGUUAAGAUGCUUGAGACGAUCUUGCUUUAUAAAGCUAAGGUUCUAGCUUUAUGCUUUUGAAAAUGUUUACAGCAGUAAAUGCUAGUCAGCUUUCUUCCCCGUAGUUUGUACACUUUCUUUGAAAAUCGAUCUAUUUGAAGAAAAACAGCCCUGUUUUUCUCGUCUUUGUUGUUGGGGGUUGGGGGAAGCUGGUGGGUGAGGGAAAGGAAGACCUUUUCUUUGUGUAGAGAGACUAAAGCCGUCACAGGAAACUAGAUUAAAACUGGAAAACAAGUCCUAGCUGGUUCCAGCAAACACCAGCGUUAAGUGGGGGGUAUUUUCUAUGGUGGUUGGGCGGCUGGUGCGUCUUUUGCCUUUUGUUUGAUUUGACUGUAUUUUCGCCUUUUGUCUCUUAAUGACGAUCACACCAUUGCUAUAUCCAGAGCAGUAAACAGUCCUCAGCGAAGCCGCCUUUUUGCCUACCCAACCCUGGAAAGUUUGCAGAAGUGGAAGGAGCAGAACGUGAGGGUGUAACUUACAAAAAGGUUCUGGGCCGGAGAAGGGGCGACGUUCGGGCACCCCCCGAAUGGACAAUCUUUCCUUCUGUCGACGGCAGGGGCAGGCCUAGUUUGACUCUGACAGUCCUCCCACUAAGCUUCUGUUGGUAGGCAUUUGGGGCGUGCAAUUCUCUGCCGAAUUUAGCAGCAUACGAGAGGAUCUACUUGCAAGUAUUUCCCAGUUGUGUGUUCUUCGGCGGGGGAAGGGCCCUGGGUGCCGCCUACUUCUGAAAGACACAGGUCACUGCCAGAAAGCCCAACUGUGCUGUGGCCUCCCCUCCAGCCGCCCCCGUGGGGCAUGUGGGGUGACAGUGUGAGCCGUCCUCUGUCUGGCUGCUAGGGAGGCAAAGAACAGAGACCCGAGGUUCU